GCCGUGAGAAAUUAUCCAAUAUCACUUUUUCUUUUAAAUUAACAUUUAUAAAUAAUUUUCUGCAAAUAUGAUGUCAUUGUCCAGUGUCCGUGCUGUAAAGGCUGGCAGAGUAAUGUAAUGUUUGUCCGUGUGGCAACACGUAGCUGAUUGCCUCGUUCCUCCAAGAAAAUUAGUGAUGCACCUGAGAGGCCGUCGUGACAGUCAUGGAGAAGUUUUUAAAAAGGACAACUGCAAACUCCGAACUGGGCCCUGGACAAGAUUCUGACCCGGAUGAAGGCCCUACUAUGAGUGGUGGGAAAAAGAAAGCAAAGACGAUGGAGCAUGUGAAACCCUUGACAGAAGUUGACUUUACCAACAGAUGCCUACAGCAUAAAGAUAGCAGAUUUGCAGUUGAGUUCUAGGACUCUCUUCAAAGACUAUGAUGAUGAAAGCAACCGAAGCAUCACACCAGCAAAUGAUUUAGUGACGUUGGACUCACGAGAGGAUGUAGAUUAUAGCCACAUUGUGAGGUUGGCUGACAUUUUUGCACUACACCUGGAUCAGGAGGAAUUAAAGGACGAGUGGGAAGAUUACCAGCUGCUACUUGAUACUCUCGUCCCUCAGAAAAGCCAAGAUGGAAGACCAGUUAACCCAGAGUCUUUUUGGCCACACAUAUUUAAAUUAAAAUGCAUUGAGGCAAGCUCGCUUUCCAUUGCUGAAAGAAAUUUACAAAGUUCUGUUCUACCUUUCUCACUCUAUUGCCGACAGUGAGAUACUUUUCAGCCAUGUAAGGAAAAUACAGGGUAUAGGAAGACAAUGAGAGCUGAUACUCUGACAUCUUUGUUGUAAAUUAAAUUAAAUUGUGAGAGUUUCUGUCAUAGAGUAAAACCAUCUUUAGAACACAUGAAGUCUGCGAAAUACUGUACUGCUACUUAUAAUAAGCAACACUAAAUUUACUAUAAGUCGGGAAAGAACUUGGAAAGAAUUGUUUGUGUUGUUUAUUUGAGAAGUAAAAUAACUUAACACAAAUUAUCUUUGUUAUUUUUCUACAUAAUCUGUCUUGCAGUGAGUAAAUAUGUGCUGCAUUGUGUUUGUAAGGUUUAUGAUUGCUUAAUAAGGGGAGUUGGAAUCAUUUAUAAGGGGAGCAAUUGGCCGAGGUUGACAGGUAUGCAUUUGUAACACUGUUGUUGCAUCGAAAGUCCAUAGGAGUCUGCCCAUGGCCUGCUGUCCAUAGUACAGUCCAUGCACCAGUCCAAAAGUCUAAUUCCAUACACAUUACCACAGACUGCUCCAGAAUGAGUACUGUUAUGUGUGUGUAUUUUUAUUCUCUGUUGUCUUUAUUUUCCUUUUAUGCUUUUAAGUUGUUAAGAUGUGUGUCUUUGUGACACUGUUUACUUUCAUACUUCUUAGUCCUUAUGAUGUGAUGCGGUUUCCUCUAAUGCUCUUGGGUCCGUGUGACGCAAACUCUUGACGUCCUUUGUGACACGGAAGUUUGAAAUGUUUCAAGGAUUACCUAUAUAAAGACAAGAAAGAUGGACAACGAGGCUUCUCCUAACAACUUCACCGCUGGUCUGGGAAACUACGCUGCUUGGAACACUAACCACACGGACACCUGCUGCCUUUCGUUUUUGGACCAGCUGGAACUACUCUGUUCUUGAACGCCCAUUUUGUGUUAGCUAUUUUAUCGUUUGUGUUGUG